ACUCUUCAUGGCUCAAUUUCGGCUCCCGGAGCUGGUUCUACCAGGGCCCCAGCACCGGUCCAGAGAGGAGGCCCCGGGUCCGCGCGUCUGGUUGUGUCGGGCGGUGCUCUCUGUCCUUCUCACUCCCCAGCCCUCCCUUCCAUUUCUCGGUUACCUGCGCGGCUGCAGGCGCCGCCGGGGACUGCACAGGGAUUGUAUUGACAGUGGGGGCUUGGGGAGGGCAGACACGGACCCUGGGAGCGCUGCAGGGCACUGGGGGGAGAGAGGGGCGGGACUGAAGCCCCGGAGAUUGGGGGCCGGUUCCUUUACGGCCCCGCAGCUUGCGCAGGCUCCGUGGUGCCUGGGAGGUGGUGCGCCGGUUGGGUGGGGGCGGGUCCAGGCCGCGGCGUCGGAGAAUUGUCCCCCAUCCAGUCCCCGCGAUGACUGGGUUUUGACAGCCUCCCCUCCCGAGCGCGCACAUUCCCAGGUUUGCAGAAUGAAAAUCAAUAAAAUCGAUGCAGUGGCAAAGAACGCG
rnacentral:lncRNA from 1 species